GCGCCCGUAGCUCAGCUGGAUAGAGCGCUGCCCUCCGGAGGCAGAGGUCUCAGGUUCGAAUCCUGACGGGCGCG
rnacentral:tRNA from 1 species